rnacentral:tRNA from 2 species
GGGUUCAUAGCUCAGUUGGUAGAGCACUAGACUUUUAAUCUAGGUGUCGCGGGUUCGAUCCCCGCUGGACUCA